AACGAACGCUGGCGGCAGGCUUAACACAUGCAAGUCGAGCGGAACCUUCGGGCUUAGCGGCGGACGGGUGGGUGCCGCGUGGGGACGUGCCCUUGAGUACGCCAUCCCUUCGGGUAGGAGAGCUUAAUGCCGUAUCCGCUCGUACGGGCAAAGAGUUACUGGUGUAGGAUCGGCGCGGGUUGGAUUCGGUUGUUGGGGGGGUAAUAGCCUAUCAAGGGGUGGUUGCGUAGCUGGGUGGAGAGGAGGAUCAGCCACACUGGGGAUGAGACACAGCCCAGAAGCCUACGGGAGGGAGGAGAGGGGAAUACUGGACAAGGGGGGCAAGCCUGAUCCAGCCAUGCCGCGUGAGCGAUGAAGGCCGUAGGGAAGUAAAGUUCUUUCAGACGGGAAGAUAAUGACGGUACCAGCAGAAGAAGCCCCGGCUAACUCCGUG
rnacentral:rRNA from 1 species